GCUGAGAUGGCUCAGCUAGUAGAGCAUGAGACUCUUAAACUCAGGGUCAUGGGUUAGAGCCCCAAACUGAGCA